AUUGAACGCUGGCGGCAGGCCUAACACAUGCACGUCGAACGAGUGGCGGACGGGUGAGUAAUGUCUGGGAAACUGCCCGAUGGAGGGGGAUAACUACUGGAAACGGUAGCUAAUACCGCAUACCAUCGGAUGUGCCCAGAUGGGAUUAGCUAGUAGGUGGGGUAACGGCUCACCUAGGCGACGAUCCCUAGCUGGUGUGAGAGGAUGACCAGCCAGAUUGGAAUUGGGACACGUUCCUGACUCUCACGGGAGGCAGAAGUGGGGAAGAGUGCUCAAUGGGCGCAAGCCGGAUGCAGCCAUGCCGCGUGUAUGAAGAGGGGCUUCGGGUUGUAAAGUACUUUCAGCGAGGAGGCGGUACUCGCAGAAGAAGCACCGGCUAACUCCGUGCCAGCAGCCGCGGUAAUUC
rnacentral:rRNA from 1 species